rnacentral:rRNA from 1 species
GAUGAACGCUGGCGGCGUGCUUAACACAUGCAAGUCGAACGGGAAACCUUUUAUUGAAGCUUCGGCAGAUUUAGCUGGUUUCUAGUGGCGGACGGGUGAGUAACGCGUGGGUAACCUGCCCUAUACAGGGGGAUAACAACCAGAAAUGGUUGCUAAUACCGCAUAAGCGCACAGGACCGCAUGGUCCGGUGUGAAAAACUCCGGUGGUAUAGGAUGGACCCGCGUUGGAUUAGCCAGUUGGCAGGGUAACGGCCUACCAAAGCGACGAUCCAUAGCCGGCCUGAGAGGGUGAACGGCCACAUUGGGACUGAGACACGGCCCAGACUCCUACGGGAGGCAGCAGUGGGAAAUAUUGCACAAUGGGGGAAACCCUGAUGCAGCGACGCCGCGUGAAGGAAGAAGUAUCUCGGUAUGUAAACUUCUAUCAGCAGGGAAGAUAGUGACGGUACCUGACUAAGAAGCCCCGGCUAACUACGUGCCAGCCGCCGCGGUAACAC